GGCCUGGUGGUGUAGUGGUUACAUGCCUGCUUUACUUGUAAUCUUUGAAUUUGGUUUUAGCGGGGGUCCCUUGUUCGACUCAAGGCUAGACCA